rnacentral:rRNA from 1 species
AUUGAACGCUGGCGGCAGGCCUAACACAUGCAAGUCGAGCGGAUGACGGGAGCUUGCUCCUUGAUUCAGCGGCGGACGGGUGAGUAAUGCCUAGGAAUCUGCCUGGUAGUGGGGGACAACGUUUCGAAAGGAACGCUAAUACCGCAUACGUCCUACGGGAGAAAGCAGGGGACCUUCGGGCCUUGCGCUAUCAGAUGAGCCUAGGUCGGAUUAGCUAGUUGGGGGGGUAAUGGCCCACCAAGGCGACGAUCCGUAACUGGUCUGAGAGGAUGGUCAGUCACACUGGAACUGAGAGCCGGUCCGGACUCCUACGGGAGGCAGCAGGGGGGAAUAUUGGACAAUGGGCGAAAGCCUGAUCCAGCAAUGCCGCGUGUGUGAAGAAGGUCUUCGGAUUGUAAAGCACUUUAAGUUGGGAGGAAGGGCAGUAAGUUAAUACCUUGCUGUUUUGACGUUACCGACAGAAUAAGCACCGGCUAACUCUGUGCCAGCAGCCGCAGUAAGAC